AGCAUUAGAGACGAAGUGAUUUUUAGUUCAGCCGCUUAUUUUGAAGUUAUUUAUCAUGUACGUAUUUAUAUAUACAUUACAAUGCGAUCAUAAGUAAAAUGCUCGAUUUGUCUUCGUGUCUCGGUGUUAUGGUGGCGGAUUUAAACGUUUCUAUACUAUGGUUUGCGAAUGGAUUGAUUAACGACAGUAAAAAAUGAGCGUUUUAACAAACGACGAGUUCAUUCUUGCCUACUUAUUGAUUCUUUAUUUUAAGCUUCGUCCUUGGCCAGUGUAAAUAUUUCGUCACAUACAACAAUCCGUCUCUCUAUAAUAUCUCUCCGUUUAGCGUAAGCUUUCCGGUGUGGUGCCCACAUCACAUCCCUUGAUAAUGAUUCCCCCUACCGGAUACACACGCGAACAACAGCGUGUUUUAAGCGGGGGUUCACCGGGGGACACACGCACCGUCUGCCCUACAUAGCGCGCACCCUUUGUAGGCCGAAGUGUCAGCUGAGGACGACUCGCAACCUAGAAACGGCGGGUUCGCCCCUCCUUCCCUCCGUCGGUCGUUUGUAGACGUCGGCCGCGGGUCUCCUGAGGGGUUACAUGGUGACAUUUCGCGCCCUACAUACAGGCUAUUUCACACGCGCGGUCCCUUUCAGUCACGUGUAAAGUCCUACAGCCUAAAGUUUAUGAGAUGGCAGACUCCGGUGUGCUCAUCACCGAGAGCGUCCGCUCGAGCCCGGAGUUCACGGAACCGUACGCGCGCUCGGUGACCUAUAUGGAGAGAAAUAACAUUCUUCAGAUAUUUCAGGACAUCACAGAGAAUCUGAUUUUUAAUAUGCCGGAUGAUCCUCUUGUGUUCAUGCUAGAACAGGUGCAAAUGAAGAUCAAAAUCCGCGAUGAGUCGCGUAAUACAUUUCUGAAAUCAUGAUGAAUUCCAAAACAAAUUAUCAAGGGCUUUGCCAAAAACUAAACAAUUUAUGCUUUUUGAUGCAGUGCAUCGUUGUUUCCAAGCAACUGUUUUCAGAAUUUGUUGUUUAAAAUUCUUUCUCUUGUUCGACACCAUUUCUUCCAGUCGUUCUGUAUAUUUUUAAUGAGGUAGUGUGUGUGUCUUUGACCCAAAUACUUUGAUAAGCAAACUCAAGGUGACGACAAGUCGGAUAAGGUAAACAUCUUUGCAAGCAAAUUAUUUGCAGGCUUUGUUUUGAUUUCUCAAUGGAUAUAUUUGCAUGCGUUAUCACUCACGAUUCUUGUUGUAUGAAUUAACUGCGUUUCGAAAGAUACCGUAUCCUAAACGUUUUCUUGUCUAUACAUACAGCACAAGGUCUUUCCAGUCAAUUUGUUCGCUGGCCGUUUUCCACACAUGCACAAAUGCAGCUGGCUUUUGCACUGUACUCAAAUUUCCAUGAUGGAUUUUGGCUGCAUAAGUAAAGGAAGUCUUUGUUUAUAGUCGGCUCUUCUUACAGUGUGUUGUAUAGUUAUCUACAGUACAUUCCCACUAAAGGAUCAUCUGCCGUUUCAAGACCAGUUUGGCACAAGCUUUCACUCCAUCUUCGAACUAAGCUCGGGGGAUGCUUUGGUGAUGACAAGAAGACUUUUUUUCUUUCGUUUACGUUCUGUCUUGGUUUAGUACAGCACUUGCAUAUACCAUCUGCUGUUUAUUGGGAAAUUCAAUGCGAGUCUGUUUCUGACAUGUCAUUAUAACAUUUGUGACAUUAGAUGUGAAACAAUAAAUGCAUUUGUGCGUUUGA